UCUAGGGAACUAAUGGGGGUUAUGAGGAUUAAGUAAAUUAAUUCUUAUCAAGUGCUCAGUGAGACAUUCAAAGCAGAGAGCUCAGGGGGCAUCAGAGAUACACAGAGCCUGCGAAACGCAGCCGUGACUUCUCACAACACGGGUUUCCAUUCUGUUGUUACGUGUCCUCCUCAUAGAACGGGCUUGCCCCGUGUGAGAUUUUGCUGUGUGAAGAUCUUAGUAUUAGUCAAUCCAAUAAACGGGACGUUUCCUCUCAGAAACUGUUCACGUAAAAUAAAGUGGAUGGAAAUCGCCAGUUGCCUCUCCCCUUAGUUUACUAAAUAAAUAAGCCAAUGAAGAAACCAACAUAUGUUGAGUACCUACUCCAUGCCUGACCUGAUGCUAAUUUAAUCUAUGAUGCGUUAUUCACCCUCCCAACAGUCACAUUCAUUAAUUCAUGGGGUGUUUACUGAGUGUUGACCCUGCGCAGGCUUUUAUUCCAGAAAUGGGGAUAAAACAGUGAACUGAACAUCCAAAACUGGACAGGGCUCCCUGUCCUCACUGGGUUAACUUUGGUCUGGGGUUAGAGGCAAUGGGAACAUAAACUGAGUAGAGCAGCAAAAUAAAUUAGAUAUGGUGAUGAAGGCAGAGAGCAAUACAGUAGUGAAGGUCAGGAGGGAUCCCAUGAGCACCAUGCCCAAAGGCCAAGGCCCCGAAGGCGAAAGAGAGUCCCAGGGAGUGCCAGUGGGUCAGGGGAGGCAUGGCUGGACAGGGAUGGUCCCUUGGUCCUAGGACUGGGAAGAAGCAGCCGGGGAGUGGAAGGAAACUGAGGAGGGUAGGAAAGAGCCAGGUGGAGGUGUGUUUCUGGAAAGCAGGGGAGGCUUGAGGGGUCAAACGCUGCCUCAGGUCAAGGAACGUCAGCCUUUGGGCUGACCGCUGAUGGGAUCACGUCAGCAUCGUGGGGGAGCCUCAGGAAAGCCGGAGGAGAGUGCCAACCCUGCCACACUCCUCUCAUUAACAGCACCUCUGUUCUAUCUGUGGAGCUGUCCAGUCAGUCAAGACCCUCUGUUUCCGUUGGCCGAGCUGCCUCCUUUAGAAGCUGCUCCAAGAGGAAGCAAGAUCUUAUAAGAACAGCAUGGUCAGAAGCCGACACCAUCGGACAACUUACAAGGGGUCUCCCAAGAUCCCUCCAACUUUUGCUCAGACUUGGGCCCACGGGAGGGGAGACGUCUUGGAUUGGCUGUGCACCUGCCGGUCAGCCCACCGGAUGGGAACAUGGCCAGGGCGGGGGGCGGGGAGGAAUUGCACCCUUGGCUAUAACUCAACAGGAACGUUCCAUCCAGCAAUUUUGUAGGUUUUUUGUUCUUAGGAAACCUGAGAAGUCAUCUCACUUUGUGUGUUUUGGUAAAGGAACCAAGUUUAAUGUUAAGCCGUGUGUGUAUGUGCCCAUCGUUCCGGGGUGAUGUUUCUCUGCGGCAGGUGGAUUUCCCUGGGGGUGGUUGCAGUAGAGACCGCCCCCUGGUAUCAGCAGUCCCAUCACUGUAGACACAAACAGGACAUCUACUUCAGAUUUCUCCCUGGGUUAUGCUCAUCCCCACUCAAAGCAAUAUCUGACUGACACCUUUCGCCAAACUCCACACCACAGACAUACACUCACCUGCACACACGCACACACCUGAUUUUUCUGAUCACUCAUUUACUUUUUGGUGGGUUUCAUUGUCUAAACGCUCCCAAUUAUUCCCUACAUGUAAUAAAGCUCCAAUCCACUCCUUUAGCCCCCAACUUUGAAGGAAAGAAAGCUGAACAAAACUUUUGAUUUGGCCGUGUUCCCCUCCUAAUUUCAUUAUGCAUAUUAAAUUUUUACUGUCGACAA